CCGUCAUGCCUGCCAGGGAUCGGUUAGCAUCCUAACAUGCUUGUGGGGUUAUCUUGAUUAGAUUGAGGCUAACAGCCAUGCUGCUGCUGAUCCACCCUGCCAGGUCCCAGACUGGCAGAAGUCAUUUUGCAGCAAGGAGAGACUAAGACAGCAGUGGGAUCUCAAGGAUCUGAGCUGAGUCUGAUGUCCUCGCUGUACAGAAUCCUGUUUUCCAGACAUUUUUGGACGCUGGAUGUGGGACAUCGAGUAUUAGUGUGCUGAGGAGACUCCUUCCUUCUGACCUGGUCCAGCAAACCACUUAAAACCCCAUCACACUGACAGCCAUGCUCAGAAAUAGAAAAGUGAUUCUUUUAUGGCAUUUACUGCUCAGACUUAUCCACUCAGCCGAGUAAACAAGACCCCACAAGGAACCGGUUUUGAUUCUCGGGGUGCCCUGUCACGUCUGAAUUAUGUCAUACAUCAGGACUCUGGGCAGGUGAUAUGAGGGUUGUGUUCAUGACUGUGUAGCCCUGCUCAGGCCCUGGGGAAAGACCCGUCAGCAUCCUUUACUCCCGGAGGUGGAGGAUCUGCAGACAAUGCAGAGCAGCACUGGAAGGGACAGAGCUCUCUUGUCUGAUGCUGACUCUCCACCCAGAGUACCAGCAUUUAUUUGCUUUUCCAGAGUGUAGUGGGAACGAAAGGCUAAUCAAAAGCCAUGGUGCCUGAAAACCUUAAAGGACCAAA
ensembl:lincRNA 4930478P22Rik RIKEN cDNA 4930478P22 gene